GAUGAACGCUGGCGGCGUGCCUAAUACAUGCAAGUCGAGCGAACGGACGAGAAGCUUGCUUCUCUGAUGUUAGCGGCGGACGGGUGAGUAACACGUGGAUAACCUACCUAUAAGACUGGGAUAACUUCGGGAAACCGGAGCUAAUACCGGAUGAUAUUUUGAACCGCAUGGUUCAAAAGUGAAAGACGGUCUUGCUGUCACUUAUAGAUGGAUCCGCGCUGCAUUAGCUAGUUGGUAAGGUAACGGCUUACCAAGGCAACGAUACAUAGCCGACCUGAGAGGGGGAUCGGCCACACUGGAACUGAGACACGGUCCAGACUCCUACGGGAGGCAGCAGUAGGGAAUCUUCCGCAAUUGGCGAAAGCCUGACGGAGCAACGCCGCGUGAGUGAUGAAGGUCUUCGGAUCGUAAAACUCUGUUAUUAGGGAAGAACAUAUGUGUAAGUAACUGUGCACAUCUUGACGGUACCUAAUCAGAAAGCCACGGCUAACUACGUG
rnacentral:rRNA from 1 species